GGAGGAGGGGAGGAACCUGAUCCUCCGGUAGAGAAGGGCUGAGGCAAACAUCGAGCUCCCCCAGAGCCACCCAGGAGCUGGGAGGGCUCGGCUACCCCGGGGGGCCCUCCCUGCGGGGCAGAGGAGCUCAAUGUUCAGACUGCAAGCCAUGCAUUCAGGUCAGCCAAGCACCCUAUCUGCUGAUUCUCCAUAAGCGGCUUGAUUUACCCACUCCAUACCUGAGAACAUGGGGAUUGGAAUAAGGUAUGUCUAAUGUGCUGAGAAUGCAGAGGUGAGUCAGAGGAUACACUGUUAGUGGGAGAGAUGGACAGGU